UGCGGUUUAAAACGCAUCGGAUGAACUGUGGAUAGGGGCGAAAAACCAAACGAACCCGGAGAUAGCUGGUUCUCCUCGAAAUAGCUUUAGGGCUAGCCUCUGACCUAAGAUUUUAGGAGGUAGAGCACUGAAUGGUCUAGGGCGGAUUACCGUACCAAAACCUAUCAAACUCCGAAUGCCAAAAAAUCAAGUCAGGGAGUCAGACUUAGGGGGAUAAGCUUCUAAGUCGAAAGGGAAACAGCCCAGACCGACAGCUAAGGUCCCAAAAUUUGAAUUAAGUGGAAAAGGAUGUGAAUCUACUAAGACAACCAGGACGUUGGCUUAGAAGCAGCCAUGCAUUUAAAGAAUGCGUAAUAGCUCACUGGUCAAGUGGGUUUGCGCCGAAAAUGAACGGGGCUCAAAUUCAAUACCGAAGCUUCGGAUUAAUAGAGGGAUUAAGUUUACAAAUGAGACUAGGAAAUAUUUAACAAAAACAGAAGAGAUUAAAAAGAAAAACAAAUUUCAGACGCAGACAUAAAAGAUAGGAUAUUAAAAAAGAAAAAUAUUCAAAAAACACAAGUCUAAAGUCAAAAGUGAGUAACAUAAGAAAUUAUGAACUAACAAUCACUGGUUAAGAGUUAAAAACUAGGACUCAUAGCUAAACUUAAUACCUCUAUUAGUGGUAGAGGAGCAUUGUAUUAGAGACGAAGCCAAGGCGAAAGCAAAAGUGGAUCUAAUACAAGAGAGAAUGCUGGCAUGAGUAGCGAGAAGGGAUGUGAGAAUCAUCCCCGUCGAAACCCUAAGGACUCCUGAGCAAGGCUCGUCCCCUCAGGGAAAGUCGGGACCUAAGCCAAGGCCGAAAGGCGUAGGCGAUGGAUAACAGGUUUAUAUUCCUGUACCGCUUGAAGUCGUUAAGAGAGAAGUGAUGACGCAAAAGGAUAAGCAAAGCCAUCAGAUGGAAAAGAUGGUCUAAAGCCGUAGGAAGAAAAGUAGGCAAAUCCGCUUUUCACAAAUUCUAAAAGCCGAUAGGUAUCGAAAACAUAAGUAGAGAAGUUGCCGAUUCCAAGUUGCCAAGAAAAGUCACUAUCCAGACCAAAGCGCCCGUACCAAAACCGACACAGGUAGGGAGGUAGAGAAUACCAAGACGCGCGGAAGAACCUUUGUUAAGGAACUCGGCAAAAUGUCCCCG
rnacentral:rRNA from 1 species